rnacentral:rRNA from 1 species
AGCAGCCGCGGUAAUUCCAGCUCCAAUAGCGUAUAUUAAAGUUGUUGCAGUUAAAAAGCUCGUAGUUGAAUUUCGGGAUCAAUUUAUCGGUCGUGCCUUCGGUAUGCACUGGUAUUAUUGAUUUCUACCUUCUGACGAACUAUGAUGUCAUUAAUUUGGUGUCAUGGGGAAUCAGGACUGUUACUUUGAAAAAUUAGAGUGUUUAAAGCAGGCACACGCUUGAAUACAUUAGCAUGGAAUAAUGAAAUAGGACGUUUGACCCUAUUUUGUUGGUUUUUAGGAUCGACGUAAUGAUUAAUAGGGAUAGUUGGGGGCAUUAGUAUUCAAUUGUCAGAGGUGAAAUUCUUGGAUUUAUUGAAGACUAACUACUGCGAAAGCAUUUGCCAAGGAUGUUUUCAUUAAUCAAGAACGAAAGUUAGGGGAUCGAAGACGAUCAGAUACCGUCGUAGUCUUAACCAUAAACUAUGCCGACUAGGGAUCGGGAUGAUGUUAAUUUUUUAAUGUACUCAUUCGGCGCCUU